GGGGAUUUAGCUCAGUGGCAUAAGCACCUGCCUUGCAAGCAGGUGGUCGUGAGUUCAAUCCCUC
rnacentral:tRNA from 1 species